rnacentral:rRNA from 1 species
GACGAACGCUGGCGGCGUGCUUAACACAUGCAAGUCGAACGGUAAGGCCCUUCGGGGUACACGAGUGGCGAACGGGUGAGUAACACGUGGGUGAUCUGCCCUGCACUUCGGGAUAAGCCUGGGAAACUGGGUCUAAUACCGGAUAGGACCACUGCCUGCAUGGGUGGUGGUGGAAAGCUUUUGCGGUGUGGGAUGGGCCCGCGGCCUAUCAGCUUGUUGGUGGGGUGAUGGCCUACCAAGGCGACGACGGGUAGCCGGCCUGGGAGGGUGACCGGCCACACUGGGACUGAGAUACGGCCCAGACUCCUACGGGAGGCAGCAGUGGGGAAUAUUGCACAAUGGGCGCAAGCCUGAUGCAGCGACGCCGCGUGAGGGAUGACGGCCUUCGGGUUGUAAACCUCUUUCAGCACCGACGAAGCGCAAGUGACGGUAGGUGCAGAAGAAGGAUCGGCCAACUACGUGCCAGCCGCCGCGGUAAGAC